UUGUAGCUCCAGGAAUAAAGCACUUGGAGAGCAAUCUAUCAAUAAAUAAUAAAUAAAUCAUAUAAUUGAAUUUGAUAAUAUAAUAUACUCAAAAUCUUAAGAUAUUAUCACUACUACAAAACUAAUUUUUAUCGACAAUUAAUAGAUGACAAUAAAUUAAUUGCCGGUAUUUUAUUAAUAAAUUAGAAGUAAUUAUGGCUAAUAAGUAAAGGUUGGUAAAACGUCAAGUAAAGGCAAUUUGAUAUUUGCCAGUAAUAAUUUAUGACUUUAUUUUUAUAUUUUUUUAAAAGUUAAUCUAUUUAUUUACUUAAAUUUUAACCUUUUGUACUUUUCAUUUUAAAAUGUCUUGUUUCAUAUUCUCACUCUUCUCAUGGUUCCGCAUCCGUAACUUCUCUUCUUGCCACAGCCAAAGCUCCAUUUGAUCUGCUUCCGAAUGCAUGCAUUUUGAAGAUUUAAUGUUCGCUGCUUUCAGCUUCCAGGGGAUAAAUUCUGUAGAGAAUAAAUUAGGAGGAGUGACGUACGGAUAGUAAUCGCACUACGUAGCAGUGGCGGCCAAAGAAUAGAUGCCAUUGCCUUAAUCAACAUUUAAUACCUUUUCCUUGUAGCCUUGAAUGUGGACCCUAGAACCUGUGAAAAGAAGAAAAAUAUAGAUUGUGUUGAUGAUGGAAUUCAGCCAAUAGAGACAAAUCAAAAGAGUAUGACUAAAGAUGGUGACAUCACUUCCUUGCUAAAGCUUCUUAGGAAAAAUAAUGAUGAAGAUGCUAGAAAACUAGCGGCAAAGACUUUGUUUGAUAGGCAAAUGUUGGAGGAUUACUUCAUUGGAUAAACCUUUCUUAUAAUGAUGAGGCUCUUAAAUAUUGUAGAAGUUGGAAAAUGCAUUUGUGUUUCUCUUUUCCUCCUUUUUUUUUUUUUUCAGUCCCUUGCUAUACUGCUGUACUUAUGGUGAAUAAUAGUAUUUUGGUUAUAUCAGCUGAUUGGUUUUGAAUGAAU